UGGGGAAUAUUGCACAAUGGGGGAAACCCUGAUGCAGCGACGCCGCGUGAGUGAAGAAGUAUUUCGGUAUGUAAAGCUCUAUCAGCAGGGAAGAUAAUGACGGUACCUGACUAAGAAGCCCCGGCUAACUACGUGCCAGCAGCCGCGGUAAUACGUAGGGGGCAAGCGUUAUCCGGAUUUACUGGGUGUAAAGGGUGCGUAGGUGGCAAGGCAAGUCAGAUGUGAAAGCCCGGGGCUCAACCCCGGUAUUGCAUUUGAAACUGUUUAGCUAGAGUGCAGGAGAGGUAAGUGGAAUUCCUAGUGUAGCGGUGAAAUGCGUAGAUAUUAGGAGGAACACCGGUGGCGAAGGCGGCUUACUGGACUGUAACUGACACUGAGGCACGAAAGCGUGGGGAGCAAACAGGAUUAGAUACCCUGGUAGU
rnacentral:rRNA from 1 species